rnacentral:lncRNA from 1 species
UAUGAUAUUACUUGCUUUUUGAAUGUUGUGAUUAUAGAUUUAUUUGGAUUUGUUUAUACUAUAUCACUUUGAAAUUUCUAUUUGUCUCACUUUUUCUGUUUCUCUUUUAUUCUUUAGUGGAAGAGACGGUAAUGAUCAGGAAAUAUUUCUUGUCUUCCCUACAUGACACUUUCAUUUAGAGGAGGCAACAUGAAUGAUCCCGGGCAGUAGGAAUGAAAGUGACAUGUGUCACUUCUGGUCCAAGGCCGAGUUUGAAUUUGGGGUCUUCAUGUGUUCUUUUAUCCUGUUGCAACAACUUAAAACAUGCUGAAUGGGCCGGGCACGGUGGCUCAAGCCUGUAAUCCCAGCACUUUGGGAGGCCGAGACGGGCGGAUCAUGAGGUCAGGAGAUCGAGAUCAUCCUGGCUAACACGUGAAACCCCAUCUCUACUAAAAGAUACAAAAAACUAGCCGGGCGAGGUGGCGGGAACCUGUAGUCCCAGCUACACAGGAGGCUGAGGCAGGAGAAUGGCGUAAACCCGGGAGGCAGAGCUUGCAGUGAGCUGAGAUCCGGCCACUGCACUCCAGCCUGGGCAACAGAGCGAAACUCCAUCUCAAAAAAAAAAAAAAAAAAAAACAAAAAAAAAAACAUGCUGAAUGGAAAAGCCUUCAUCAAUCAAGCCCUUCAAUGACUAUGUGCCGCAGAGUCUCCUACCAACCUGCACUGAAACAACCAGCUGUCUGCGAGAAUUUGUGCUUCCCUUUAGAAAAUGGACUUGUCACUGGAAACUGCUCAGACAAGGACUUUGUUUCCCGGUGCACCUGAUGUGGCCUUUCUUCCUUCCUUCCUUCUAACCUGUGGAAUAUGAGCAGAAGUGAGGUGUGGCAUGUUCAGGUCAAGAUUUAAGAAGAAGGUAUAUUUUCUCCAUUAUCUUUCUCCUUCCACCAGCUAGAUUCAUUUGCAGAUGCUGUUCUAGGGGAAGACUGAACCACAAGAUGGAAGAAGGCUAGAUACUUGAAUCACAUUAUGGAGGAAAGAAGACCACCAAUGGGACAUGUGCUUCGGGUGGUUAAAAUAAUGAGAAAUAAACAUCUAUUUAAGUUUGAGCCAUACAUUUUGGGGUCUAUUAUCUACUGCCUCUAACGUUACCCUAAUUAAUAAAAAAAUUGAUACCUUGAAAAAAGUACUGCUACAAUAAAUACCUAAAGUAACUAUUACUCUCUGGACACUUGGGUAGCAGGUAGCAACUCCUCCCCACCCAAAAUAAACCAAAAAACAAACAAACAAACAACAACAACAAAAAACAGGUGUUGGGUGCUGGAAAGAUGGAGACCCAUGUUAUGCCUUGGCAAAGCAUUUUAUUUUAUUUUAUUUAUUUUGUUUGAGACGGAGUCUUGCUCUGUUGCCCAGGCUGGAGUGUAGUGGCACAGCCUCGGCUCACUGCAACCUCUGCCCCCUGGGUUCAAGCAAUUCUCCUGCCUCAGCCUCCCAAGUAGCUGGGAUUACAGGCGCCCACCACCACGCCCAGCUAAUUUUUGUAUUUUUAGUAGAGACAGGGUUUUGCCAUGUUGGCCAGGCUGGUCUUGAACUCCUGACCUCGUGAUCUGCCCACCUCGGCCUCUCAAAGUGCUGGGAUUACAGGCAUGAGCCACCGCACCUGGCCGUGGCAAAACAUUUUAAAAACCAUGUUUAUGAUAACCUAAAAGACAGUAUCCAUUUCUACAAUGGACCAGUGACUGCUAUGUAUCCACAAUUCUUCUCUUUUUUUUGAGACGGAGUCUAGCUCUGUUGCCCAGGCUGGAGUGCAGUGGCCGGAUCUCAGCUCACUGCAAGCCCUGCCUCGGGUUCACGCCAUUCUCCUGCCUCAGCCUCCCGGUAGCUGGGUACAGCUAAUUUUUGUAUUUUAGUAGAGACGGGGUUUCACCGUGUUAGCCAGGAUGGUCUCGAUCUCCUGACCUCGUGAUCCGCUCUCGGCCUCCCAAAGUGCUGGGAUUACAGGCUUGAGCCUUUCUUAAUGGGAGCUUCUAUUGUGGUUAUCUUGUCCCUGUUUUAUCAUGACAUAUUAGAGGGGCAGGGAAUUUUUUUUAUAUAUUUGUAUAUCAC